GAUGAACGCUAGCGGCAGGCCUAAUACAUGCAAGUCGAACGGGAUCCAGAUCAAAGCUUGCUUUGGUUUGGUGAGAGUGGCGCACGGGUGCGUAACGCGUGAGCAACCUACCCUUGUCAGGGGGAUAGCCCGGCGAAAGUCGGAUUAAUACCGCAUGACAUCAUUGAGAGGCAUCUUUCGAUGAUCAAAGAUUUAUCGGACAAGGAUGGGCUCGCGUGACAUUAGCUAGUUGGUAAGGUAACGGCGUACCAAGGCUACGAUGUCUAGGUGCUCUGAGAGGAGAAUCCCCCACACUGGUACUGCGACACGGACCAGACUCCUACGGGAGGCAGCAGUAAGGAAUAUUGGUCAAUGGACGGUAGUCUGAACCAGCCAUGCCGCGUGCAGGAAGACGGCCCUAUGGGUUGUAACCUGCUUUUAUACGGGAACAAACGUCGGUACGUGUACCGGUCUGAGUGUACCGUAAGAAUAAGGAUCGGCUAACUCCGUG
rnacentral:rRNA from 1 species